UCCAAAGGGGCAUGCCUGUUUGAGCGUCAUUUCUCCCUCAAACCCCCGGGUUUGGUGUUGAGCAAUACGCUAGGUUUGUUUGAAAGAAUUUAACGUGGAAACUUAUUUUAAGCGACUUAGGUUUAUCCAAAACGCUUAUUUUGCUAGUGGCCACCACAAUUUAUUUCAUAACUUUGACCUCAAAUCAGGUAGGACUACCCGCUGAACUUAAGCAUAUUCAAUAAGCGGAGGAAAAGAACCAACAGGGAUUGCCUUAGUAGCGGCGAGUGAAGCGGCAAAAGCUCAAAUUUGAAAUCUGGCUCUUUCAGAGUCCGAGUUGUAAUUUGAAGAAGGUAUCUUUGGGUCUGGCUCUUGUCUAUGUUUCUUGGAACAGAACGUCACAGAGGGUGAGAAUCCCGUGCGAUGAGAUGAUCCAGGCCUAUGUAAAGUUCCUUCGAAGAGUCGAGUUGUUUGGGAAUGCAGCUCUAAGUGGGUGGUAAAUUCCAUCUAAAGCUAAAUAUUGGCGAGAGACCGAUAGCGAACAAGUACAGUGAUGGAAAGAUGAAAAGAACUUUGAAAAGAGAGUGAAAAAGUACGUGAAAUUGUUGAAAGGGAAGGGCUUGAGAUCAGACUUGGUAUUUUGUAUGUUACUUCUUCGGGGGUGGCCUCUACAGUUUAUCGGGCCAGCAUCAGUUUGGGCGGUAGGAGAAUUGCGUUGGAAUGUGGCACGGCUUCGGUUGUGUGUUAUAGCCUUCGUCGAUACUGCCAGCCUAGACUGAGGACUGCGGUUUACGCCUACGACGUCGCAUACCGACGAGUA
rnacentral:rRNA from 1 species